rnacentral:lncRNA from 10 species
GAUGGCCGAGCAGGGGCGGGCAUCCAGGCAGGUCCAGCAGUCCUGGCGGGCUGAGGAGAAGGAGGUCAGUGCUCAGGGAGACAUCCGCAGAGGGACCUGGCAGGCAGAGCUCCAGAAGGGAGGGAACUGCACAGACAGAAAGCUCCAGAAGGCUGCCUGAGGGCCUCUGAGGCCUCCGGAGUCAGGCGCCAUGGAUGUGGAAGGUGGACUCUUCAGCAUGGAUGGGACCCUAGGGGGCUGUGGACCCCCGGCCCCUGGGACUCACAGGUGGGAGACAGGAGUUCCAACCGCCAGGGGGAGAGUCCUGGAGGAUCCUGGGCUGUUGGCAGCCACCCAGCAGGGCCCGUCCUGGGAGUGGGGCUGGACUCUUCCUGCAGGAAAGGCUGGGCUGGACCUGCUCUGAGAGGCUUCAGAACCAGCCACACGAAGACCAAAGUGAAGAGCAAGGAGCUGAACUCCACGCAGAACACAGCGCAGCGUCCUUUAAAGGAAGGCCAAAAACAACCCAACAAAAAUGCCAGGUGAUCAAAGCGGUCACAGCACAAUGUCCACAUCCAACGAGAAAUUGCUACUACGUCCAGACGCAGGGAAAGGUGGCCGUGGGAACGUGAGUCAGCAGCAACAGGCCCAGAAGGGCAGCCACGGUGGACUUGUCAGACGUGGACCCUGAAAUGACAAUCACAGCAUGAUUUCAGGCAGGAGCCUGAAAUGGUACAGCUUUGGACAUCGGUUUGGCAAAUUCUUUUAGAGAGAAACACACACCUUCCCUAGGACCCAGCAACUCCACUCCUAAUAACCAAGUGAAAUGGAAGGAGUUGUCCUCAGCAAAACGUGUGUGCGGAAGUUCACAGUCACUUUCUCGGUGAUAACCAAGAGCUGGAAACCACUGCAACACCCACCAGCAGGUGAACGGAUUAACACACUGGGCUAGGGCCACACAAUGAGAUGCUCCGUGGCAACACAAAAUGAACCGUGGACACACACUGCACGGCGGAUGAAUAUGCAGACAUCAGGCCACGUGAAGGGAGCCAGGCCCCGAGGCGCCACGCUUUGUGAUUCAGGAAAGAAAGCACGCAGCCAAAGAGCGCAAAGAGGCUCAGAGGAGGCCCGGGUGCCCUGGAGAGACGCUGCGUUUUGGGAGGUGGAGGCGUGCGGAUCAUCUGAGAUCAGGAGUUUGAGACCAUCCUGAGUAACAUGGUGAAACCCCGUCUCUAGGAAGAAUA